rnacentral:antisense_RNA from 1 species
AGUGUCAGCCACGUCUAGCGCACAGUCCCAGGCCCCAGGGCGAAGACGGCCAGGGGAAAUGGGGCUCAGGGCUUGCUAAGCAAACGCAUCACUGGUGGUCUCCAGCGCCUGCGGAGCAUCAAGCUUAUGAAGAUUUCCAAGUAAGACUUUAUUGUUGACCCUUGUUGAAGAGAACUCUACUUGGCUUCUUUCCUGGCUUUCCUAAAUUGUUCACAUACAAGAUAAACUACCGUCAUUCAGACUUACAGAAGUGAGAAGACAAGCUGAACCAAAUGUAAAAUGGUAGCAAUUUACAGGUAAUUCUGUAUCUUAAUUUCUCCCACAUUUUUAGGGUAAAAAAUUGUGAUAUAUGGGGGUUAUUUGGAUCAAGUGUUUUCUAAGUAGAACUUUGUCAUAAUUAAUUUUAUGUAUUUAUAGUAGUUCUCCCUGUGUCCCUUUAUCCAAGCAACACAAUACAA